GGUUAAGCGACUAAGCGUACACGGUGGAUGCCUAGGCAAUCAGAGGCGAUGAAGGACGUGCUAAUCUGCGAUAAGCGUCGGUAAGGUGAUAUGAACCGUUACAACCGACGAUUUCCGAAUGGGGAAACCCAGUGCAAUUCGUUGCACUAUCGUUUGAUGAAUACAUAGUCAAACGAAGCGAACCGGGGGAACUGAAACAUCUCAGUACCCCGAGGAAAAGAAAUCAACCGAGAUUCCCCUAGUAGCGGCGAGCGAACGGGGAGCAGCCCAGAGUCUUAAUCAGCAUUAGCAUCAGGAGAACGGUCUGGAAAGUCCGGCAGUAAAGGGUGAUAGCCCCGUAUCCGAAGGUGUUAGUGUUGUGAACUCGACGAGUAGGGCGGGACACGUGUUAUCCUGUCUGAAUAUGGGGGGACCAUCCUCCAAGGCUAAAUACUCCUGAUUGACCGAUAGUGAACCAGUACCGUGAGGGA
rnacentral:rRNA from 1 species